UCCGUCUGUCCAUCCGUCUGUCUGUCCGUGUUUACGAGAGUGCAUGUAUUGGGUUCUUUUUAUACUUAAUUGGUACUAAUUGGGUACUUUUUUCUUAUUGGGUAUACCCAAGAGGAAGUGUCGCUUAAUCUACUUAAAAUGCCUUAAUUGGGUACAUGAAAGUUAGUACCCAACAAAACUUAGACAUUGCGACUUGUCCAAUAAAGUGUCUGAAAAAGUUGCUUCUAUGGACGCACCAUGUAUUCGCUUCUAUAUCAUACUUUCGGAACACUAAAUUUAGCUAAGCUGCGGUCAUAGUAACUCCCGAGAGUUCCGAAAAGCAACCUCCGUUAAUCUUGUUCUUUCAAGCGUUUGAUAUCACACACAACAACAAUGGCGUCUGCAAGGCAUAGUGAGCACGAGGUCAAGAUCCAAAAAGUGGAUCAACUACCAAGAGAACAAAAUAUGUGCUAAUUUUAAGGAGAUGCUGUAGCUCUUCUCCUGGAUGGGGGUGUUUGGUGGCCAGGAGCAUGUUCCUUGACGGAAAAAAUGUGAAUGCAGACAAAGGAAAAAAAAUUUGAUAGAAGAAGAAGACAUACAGGAAGAUGAAUAAGAGGAUACAUCUUUUCGAGGAAAGAAAACCUCCUCAUCUACAUGAAUGAAAUGGACGGAGGCUGAACUAGAGGAGGUUAAGGAAUAUUUCAGAGAAUGUCUGAUCUCGAUCACCACUCCAGGAAGAAUAACUUGCAAUAUGUGGAUAGAGGAAAGCAGAGCUAAUAUAAUAAGCUAUGGGAAACUCUAAAGAAGAAAGUGUGGAGUCUGCCCCCCCCCCCCCCCCCCAAAAAAAAAAAUAAAAAUAAAAAAUAAAA